AUCAUGAUAAUCAGUUGCAAUGUGAACUAACAAAUAACCUUGAAGUACAAGCAGAUCCAAUUAAUGUGGAACAAAUAAAGGAGAAUCAUGAUGAUGAUAAGUUGCAAUGUGAACUACCAAAUUACCAUGAAGUACAACCAGAUUCAAAGCAUAUGGAACAAAUAGAGGUGGAAUCAAUUUCAGACGACAACUUUUCCAAACACCUUGUGAAAGUCAUCUGAAUGCCAGGAUUCUCAGGAGCAUGAAGAUAGUCCAUUACAUAGAAGGAAGACCUUGAUUAUGUAUCUUGAUGCCAUUGGUGAAAAGGCAGAGGUCUAACACUGACUGUGAAGAAAAUGACUUGACAGCUGAAGGGAACAUGAACAAUAUGAAUCAGAUUUCUGAUAGGGCUCUUAAAGCAGUGAACUAAAAAACAUUUUCUUACUAAGUUUAAGAUUUUGAUAUCAAAGUUUUUGAAAGGGGGAUAUAGGAAUCACCCUGUUUGUUUGUCCAUCUGUCUGUGGACAACACUUGGAUUAUACUGUUCUAGCUCUAGUUGGUUAAAAUAGAUAAUAUCUAAAAUCAAAUGUGUCAUACUUCUUGUUUACUGUGCAUAAAUGUACAUUGAAGAACAUACUGUAUAAGUAGAAUUUUUA